AAUAAAAAGUAGAAGAAUCAAUUACUUCGGUUGACUUGACACGGUUGCCGAGAAGAUGGAAGAAGAAGGGGAAAGGGAAGGAAUCGAAGCGAAGCUUUUGAUUUUCUUGGAUGAAUCAAUUUUUUUUUUUUAGGGACAAAGAACGCGCCAUCGGAAAGAGCAAGGUGAUGAUACCGUAGUUCAGUCACCAACUAUGGCACACAAAAGACCAAUGCUGGAAAUUACACGACCGUCCACCAAAUGGCAAGCGACGUCCUCCAAAUGAUAAGUCUAAAUCUGAGCUCUCGUUAGUGAAGCUAUUAAUGGUGCUCCCCAAGUGACCAGUUAUGUUGAUCCAAGUACAGUUGGGAUCGACAAUAUUGUCCAAUCAGGACCUGAGCUUGGGGAAGACGAUUGGCACUCUCCAGCACGAUAGGGGCUCUAUUUCCUUUCUGAUGAUGCUUCUUCUAGGAGUUUGUCUAGGAUUAGUUUGUUAUCUUCUCUUACUGUUUAUGAAACUGACUAAUUAUUAUGGCACUUUCGUAUUGGACAUCCAAGCUUUCAUUAUAUGAAAUACUUGUUUCCCCA